rnacentral:rRNA from 1 species
ACGGUAACGAUGGAAAGCUUGCUUUCCAGGCGACGAGUGGCGGACGGGUGAGUAAUGCAUAGGAAUCUGCCCAGUAGCGGGGGACAACCUGGUGAAAACCAGGCUAAUACCGCAUACGCCCCCUGGUUUAAUAACUGGGGGGGAAAGCGGGGGACCUUCGGGCCUCGCACUAUUGGAUGAGCCUAUGUCUGAUUAGCUAGUUGGUAGGGUAAAAGCCUACCAAGGCGACGAUCAGUAGCUGGUCUGAGAGGAUGAUCAGCCACACUGGGACUGAGACACGGCCCAGACUCCUACGGGAGGCAGCAGUGGGGAAUAUUGGACAAUGGGCGCAAGCCUGAUCCAGCAAUGCCGCGUGUGUGAAGAAGGCCUGAGGGUUGUAAAGCACUUUCAAUUGUGAAGAAAAGUUUAAGGUUAAUAACCUUAAACCGUGACGUUAACUUUAGAAGAAGCACCGGCUAACUCCGUGCCAGCAGCCGCGGUAAUACGGAGGGUGCGAGCGUUAAUCGGAAUUACUGGGCGUAAAGCGUGCGUAGGUGGCUUGGUAAGUCGGACGUGAAAGCCCUGGGCUCAACCUGGGAACUGCAUUCGAUACUGCCAGGCUAGAGUAUGGU